GUCUCCGUAGGUGAACCUGUGGAGGGAUCAUUACACAAAUAUGAAGGCGGGCUGGAACCUCUCGGGGUUACAGCCUUGCUGAAUUAUUCACCCUUGUCUUUUGCGUACUUCUUGUUUCCUUGGUGGGUUCGCCCACCACUAGGACAAACAUAAACCUUUUGUAAUUGCAAUCAGCGUCAGUAACAAAUUAAUAAUUACAACUUUCAACAACGGAUCUCUUGGUUCUGGCAUCGAUGAAGAACGCAGCGAAAUGCGAUAAGUAGUGUGAAUUGCAGAAUUCAGUGAAUCAUCGAAUCUUUGAACGCACAUUGCGCCCUUUGGUAUUCCAAAGGGCAUGCCUGUUCGAGCGUCAUUUGUACCCUCAAGCUUUGCUUGGUGUUGGGCGUCUUGUCUCUAGCUUUGCUGGAGACUCGCCUUAAAGUAAUUGGCAGCCGGCCUACUGGUUUCGGAGCGCAGCACAAGUCGCACUCUCUAUCAGCAAAGGUCUAGCAUCCAUUAAGCCUUUUUUUCAACUUUUGACCUCGGAUCAGGUAGGGAUACCCGCUGAACUUA
rnacentral:rRNA from 1 species